GUCUGUGGCGAUAGCACGUUGAAAGCAGCAGUUCCCAAUGAAUCACCGAAGUUAAGCAACGUUGCGCGUGCUUGGGUAUAAGGAUGGGUGACCAUUUGCCAUCCAGAUCCGAGCUAUCCUGUGUUGCUGGCU
rfam:Asian citrus Psyllid, Diaphorina citri - Florida Strain, whole genome shotgun sequence.